rnacentral:rRNA from 1 species
GUUAGAACGCUCGUAGUCGGAUUUCGGGGCGGGCCGACCGGUCUGCCGAUGGGUACGCACUGGUCGGCGCGUCCUUCCUUCCGGAGACCGCGCCUACUCUUAACUGAGCGGGGGCGGGAGACGGAUCGUUUACUUUGAAAAAAUCAGAGUGUUUCAAGCAGGCAGCUCGCUCUUGCAUGGAUUAGCAUGGGAUAAUGAAAUAGGACUUUGGUGCUAUUUUGUUGGUUUCGAACACCGAAGUAAUGAUUAAAAGGGACAGUCAGGGGCACUCGUAUUCCGCCGAGAGAGGUGAAAUUCUCAGACCAGCGGAAGACGAACCACUGCGAAAGCAUUUGCCAGGGAUGUUUUCACUGAUCAAGAACGAAAGUUAGGGGAUCGAAGAGGAUCAGAUACCCUCGUAGUCUUAACCAUAAACCAUGCCGACUAGGGAUUGGAGGAUGUUCACACUUGACUCCUUCAGCACCUUACGGGAAACUAAAGUCUUUGGGUUCCGGGGGGAGUAUGGUCGCAAGGCUGAAACUUAAAGGAAUUGACGGAAGGGCACCACCAGGUGUGGAGCCUGCGGCUUAAUUUGACUCAACACGGGGAAACUUACCAGGUCCAGACAUUGUGAGGAUUGACAGAUUGAGAGCUCUUUCUUGAUUCGAUGGGUGGUGGUGCAUGGCCGUUCUUAGUUGGUGGAGUGAUUUGUCUGGUUAAUUCCGUUAA